rnacentral:rRNA from 1 species
GACGAACGCUGGCGGCGUGCUUAACACAUGCAAGUCGAACGGAAAGGCCCUGCUUUUGUGGGGUGCUCGAGUGGCGAACGGGUGAGUAACACGUGAGUAACCUGCCCUUGACUUUGGGAUAACUUCAGGCAACUGGGGCUAAUACCGGAUAGGAGCUCCUGCUGCAUGGUGGGGGUUGGAAAGUUUCGGCGGUUGGGGAUGGACUCGCGGCUUAUCAGCUUGUUGGUGGGGUAGUGGCUUACCAAGGCUUUGACGGGUAGCCGGCCUGAGAGGGUGACCGGCCACAUUGGGACUGAGAUACGGCCCAGACUCCUACGGGAGGCAGCAGUGGGGAAUAGUGUACAAUGGGCGGAAGCCUGAUGCAGCAACGCCGCGUGCGGGAUGACGGCCUUCGGGUUGUAAACCGCUUUCGCCUGUGACGAAGCGUGAGUGACGGUAAUGGGUAAAGAAGCACCGGCUAACUACGUG